rnacentral:lncRNA from 1 species
GAGAAAGGUGAAGAGGAGAGCGCCCUAAUGGAGAAGAGCUCCGUGCGGAUGGCAAAGUGUGGACCGCCGGCGCGGCGCGCGCAGCGCAGGCUAGAGAUGGCAAGGGAGAUGUCUGCAGUGCUGUCCUUCAUCACUAUGAACAACCAGUGCUACAGAGUUCAGACAGGUCAGACCGUCGGUCCGUGCCCUGUAAGAAAGGUGGUGAAUGGCCAAGGCCUUACCCGGAACUGUGAGCACGGGUAUGAGAAGAGGUGCACUUUGCCGAAGUCAUCGCCUGUGCACAAGAGCUUUCUCUCGUGAGCCCGGCAGACGGCGUUGAUGUCUGUCCCAUCGGAGCCCUCCGGCCACACUCCUGGAACAGAGCACAGAGGCACUGGAAACUUCAGAGCCACAGCACACAAACGCUGGUCACCAAAGGGGACAGAAAUCCACCUUCAGUCUGG